CAACAAACUAGUAAAUUUAUUUAUUCUUUAAAGAUGUUUAUUUGUAUAAUUAAAAUAAAUUUAUCGAUUAUUUGUGACAUGAACGAUAACCUUUUCUGGCUUCGUCGUAGCCAUGACAUAUUUUAAUUUCUAUUCUUACUUAUCAUAUGACAUUAAUCAACCAUCCAUGCGAUCAAAAUCACAUGAACAUAAAAAAUUAGAGUAUUAUAAGAUGAUAAAUAGAUCAGCAACAAAUUAAAAAGCAGUUCUCAGCUGACUCUACUGUGACUACUCUAGUUAAUAAUUAUUUUGUGAGUAUCAAUAAAAUGUCUAAAUCAAUUUUUAUCAUUUUUAUAAUUAUUGGACUCGCUAGUGUGACUCUAGCGCAACAAGUAACAAUCAAAGGCGGCUGUCUAAAUGCUUGGUGCCAUGGAAUAGCAGGGUAUAAAUGCUGCUCAGGGUUCGCAUGUACCUCAUACUUUUCUCAAGGAAAAUGUCUGUAUAAUGGACCAGAAUGUUAUCCUGGAUAAUUAAAUAUAUGACCUGUCAAUAAUUCUAUUAAAUAAAUUUUAAAUUUUGAAAAUUCAAAGAUCAAGAA